GACGAACGCUGGCGGCGUGCUUAACACAUGCAAGUCGAACGAAGAGACUUGGAAGCUUGCUUCUAAGAAUCUUAGUGGCGAACGGGUGAGUAACGCGUAAUCAACCUGCCCUUCAGAGGGGGACAACAGUUGGAAACGACUGCUAAUACCGCAUACGAUCCAAUCUCGGCAUCGAGACUGGAUGAAAGGUGGCCUCUAUUUAUAAGCUAUCACUGAAGGAGGGGAUUGCGUCUGAUUAGCUAGUUGGAGGGGUAACGGCCCACCAAGGCGAUGAUCAGUAGCCGGUCUGAGAGGAUGAACGGCCACAUUGGGACUGAGACACGGCCCAGACUCCUACGGGAGGCAGCAGUGGGGAAUCUUCCGCAAUGGACGAAAGUCUGACGGAGCAACGCCGCGUGAGUGAUGAAGGCCUUCGGGUUGUAAAGCUCUGUUAAUCGGGACGAAGGUUCUUGUGCAAAUAGUGCGAGG
rnacentral:rRNA from 1 species